AGGAAAUACAUUUUAUUGUUUCUGCAGCACAAGCAAGAAGUUCUUCUCUGUGAUUUGACACUUCAUUUCUAACAUCAUCAGUGCUCCAAGUGUCAGAAACAAAGAUAGAUCUCAGAUAAUGCAUCAGCACCUUGUUGCAAUCUAAGCUAUAAGUAUUGGCCAACUUCAGUACAUCCUUCACACUCUGUUUCUUCUCUGGGGUCAUGGACUCGAUAAAUGAUAAAACAACAUUCUCUCUGUAGUCCAUGUCCCCAGAUAAGAAGCGAGAAGCUUCAACACCAGGGAGAAUUUGUUCUAAGCUCCUUGAACUGUCUGCAUUGCGCUUUUGCUCUUCUAGCUUCAGUUUCCA
rnacentral:misc_RNA from 1 species